UGGGCCACUGCCUCCUCCUCUCUUGCUUGCUCUCUCUCUUUUGUGAGUUAUAGCAACUGUUGCCUUGUGAAUCAAGCGCCAUAGUCACCGUAGUCCUGGUGACUGUUACUCAUCAACAACAACUGCUCUUCCACUGCUUUCUAUCUGCUUCCUAAUCGUCACCUACAACAGCCACCACCAGCAAGAACAACAACACAGCUUUCCACGAUUCAGAGACCACGAUGCAGACAUCAGAGACUGGAUCAGACACAGGUUCGACUGUGACUUUACAGGCAUCUGUGGCUGGCCAGGCAGCAGUGCCCACACAGGUAGUACAGCAGGUACCGGUUCAGCAACAGGUACAGCAAGUACAGACUGUGCAACAGGUACAGCAUGUCUACCCAGCCCAGGUUCAGUAUGUGGAAGGAAGUGACACAGUCUACACAAAUGGAACUAUGUAAGUUGGCUAUUGAUCUAAAUUAGAAUGUUUACAAAAAUAUGAA